AAAAAUCUCUCCUGAAUGCUCACACAUAAUGAGAAGCUACAGCCCUGCCUCUGGCCUUCACUUCAAUGAAAGGGCUUAAGUUUUAUGCUUCCUCUGAUGUGGUUCUCUGAAAUUAAGCCACUCAAUACCAGUGGCAGAGCGAGGAAAAUCCAAAGGCUGCAGUAUGGAGAGACAGUUCCACUCUUCCUUCCUUUACGGCAUUUCUUCCCCCUGUUCCAGAGGAAAAUUAGACCCUAGGAUAUUCAAUCAAGCUUACAAGUUCAUCUUGCUCUUCAGACAGGCUGUGCAUCUCCUUCCAUUUCACUUGAGCAAUGGCAGAUGGAAGGCAACACCAGCAUCAGGACCAGCACAUGCCUGGGGGUUGGAGAAAGCCACAAAACCCUGAGAAGUGUGCCCUUUGGCGUACUACGCUCCCACUCAGACAUCAGGUGGCACUGCUGUAUUCUGUCGGUGUUUCAAGAAUGCAUUCGGUUUGUUUU